GACGAACGCUGGCGGCGUGCCUAAUACAUGCAAGUCGAGCGGACUUUCAAGAAGCUUGCUUUUUGAAAGUUAGCGGCGGACGGGUGAGUAACACGUGGGCAACCUGCCUGCAAGACGGGGAUAACUCCGGGAAACCGGGGCUAAUACCGGAUAAUAUCUUCCUUCGCAUGAAGGAAGGUUGAAAGGCGGCGCAAGCUGCCGCUUGCAGAUGGGCCCGCGGCGCAUUAGCUAGUUGGUGAGGUAACGGCUCACCAAGGCGACGAUGCGUAGCCGACCGGAGGGGGUGAUCGGCAACACUGGGACUGAGACACGGCCCAGACUCCUGCAGGAGGCAGCAGUAGGGAAUCUUCCGCCAUGGACGAAAGUCUGACGGAGCAACGCCGCGGGAGCGAAGAAGGUCUUCGGAUCGUAAAGCUCUGUUGUCAGGGAAGAACAAGUACCGUUCGAACAGGGCGGUACCUUGACGGUACCUGACAAGAAAGCCACGGCUAACUACGUG
rnacentral:rRNA from 1 species